UGUCUUAAAGCUGUGUCGGCCUGGCAGAUACACAGUUAUCACGUAGAGCGUGUUUAUUUGGGUGGCUUCGAGGGGUGAUGGAUUUAGGAGAGCCCAAGUUCCCCUAAGCGAUUCCUUGGAGCCACCAGCAGCUGGCACACGGUAGGUGCCUAAGGCCUGGUUGAAUUGCUGCUGAAAAAGGGCAGGAAAGUGUAACAUGGACCCAGCUAUCUGAUCCCGAGGCUGGGCACUCUGUGGGUGUGAAACACACCUAAGGCUCCAGCGAGCUGGUGUGAGCUCGGGUUACAGUUGGCACAGGAGGUCUGAAGGAGCUCUUCGCUGGUGCAUAAUUCACUGCUCCUCCACAGAGGGGCCACGGGUGUGAAGCCAGGAGGGACGCCGCUGCCCCUGGAGGAAGCAGGGUGACAUCCUGUCUACUUGAAAAGAAAACUGAAAGUCCUGUCCUUCACGAGAAACUAUUGUGUUUUCCUAACCCACAGGGAAGGUAGCAGCCUGCUGGAGCCCACCCCAAGGAUCCCUGUGCUAUAUGAUACAUGUCCUGUGUCCUGAGAGCUAAAAAGAUUCCUGUUGCCUGCUUUAUUGCUUUAGGAGUCUGGGACUCCUAACAGAGCAGUCAUGCAAUGUGCCUGAGAACGGACAGCAAAGUGAGUCAAAGGCUAGAGGAUUUGGUCUGGUGGGCUUGGGUUGUUUGUGCAUGGACUGAUUCCCUGACGGCUGAGGUGGGAAGCAUGCCCACACACAGGCCUUGCUCACUCGUCAUGCGUCCAGAACACAGCUGGACAUGUGCUGCAGAGCACCGAAGACUGGAGGAACUCUUGGGGGGGUGAGGGGUGACGUGGGGACACUGGGGCCACCACAGCACCCACCGGCCAGAGCUUCACUGCUUGCCUCCAUUGUCUGUCCCACCCGGAGCUGGAAGCUUCAGUCAAGGGACUCCAGGAGAAAAUGGGGCAGUCCGUGGUUGAACUGAGUAAAAAACCAAAGCAGAUGCAAUCAACUCUGCUGAACCCCAUAUUUCCCCCCAAGCACCUUAAAAACAAGCCUUGUAUCUGCUCAGUGCUUUCCAGCUUACCAAGUGUUUUCAUAACUCUACCUCGUUUCAUCCUUACA